CCAGUGCCUUGCCGCGGACCUCCCGCGGACCCGUCACCCUCAGCACCGGCGCCCGGAACAGUUCUGCGAAGAGGGCGGGGAGCAACGACGCCGGUUCGUCCACCGCUCCACGACCCAGCUCCUUCCUGCUUCCCGCGAGGGCUCCUUGCAGACCCACAGACCAAGAGGAUGUAGACACUGAGGCACAGAGAAGCAUCACACUGUUCAACUGAGAGUAGAUCCUCCAUCUGUGCUCGGCCUGCCAGGGAAACUCACCUUUCCUGUUUGAAAUAAUGAACCACCUGGAAACUGAGGAUUGGAUACCUACCCUCCUCUCCCCAUACCUUGCUCCACCCUAUUCUCCACCACCCAAAGCUCGUCUGCUGCCUCACUGUGGACUCACCGA